rnacentral:rRNA from 1 species
UACGAAGGGGGCUAGCGUUGCUCGGAAUCACUGGGCGUAAAGGGUGCGUAGGCGGGUCUUUUAAGUCAGGGGUGAAAUCCUGGAGCUCAACUCCAGAACUGCCUUUGAUACUGAAGAUCUUGAGUUCGGGAGAGGUGAGUGGAACUGCGAGUGUAGAGGUGAAAAUUCGUAGAUAUUCGCAAGAACACCAGUGGCGAAGGCGGCUCACUGGCCCGAUACUGACGCUGAGGCACGAAAGCGUGGGGAGCAAACAGG